CUUGACCGAGCCGAGCAGCAGCGCACGGUCGCCAGAACGUUCCUGGCCGUACGUGGCCAGCAGCGCCUGAGCCUC
rnacentral:antisense_RNA from 1 species